UUUUGUAUAUUCACUCUAAUAUACAUUAUAUUAUAUAUAUAUACACAUAUUUAGCCAUACUGUUGUUAUGGUGUGGUAUCUUCUCCGUACAUAUGCGCUUGCUUCUGAAAAAGAGCUUAUGUGUGUGUAUGCAAAAAACAACAACACACACCAUACGCAAGUAAUGGUAACCUUCUUUUGUGUUGUGUGUGGUGGUGAAGAGGUGGUGUAGGGGUGUGGUGCGGUGGUGUGAGUGUGUCAAGCACAGCAACACACAGCGCGCCCCCUCCCUCUCCUUCACUCUCAGUCAUUUCGUUACCUUAUACUGUGUUUUACGUGUACGUUUUAGGGAAAAGUAGAGAAUGGCGUCACGUACAUAUAUAUAUAUAUAUAUAUGUGUAUAUGUGUAUUAUGUAUGUAUGUGGCCCCCGUUUCACACGAGAGAGAAUUUUCUCUUUCCAUCUCAGUUGUGUCGGGGGGAUUCUUCGCGGUUCUUUCAUUGCAGCACACAGAGGGAGCGCACCCCGCUCUCGCUCGGGACGACAGAGGGAAGUUUCUUCUUGUUCAAAAAAAUACUAAUUC
rnacentral:misc_RNA from 1 species